rnacentral:rRNA from 1 species
AUUGAACGCUGGCGGCAGGCCUAACACAUGCAAGUCGAGCGAGCGGCGGACGGGUGAGAAAUGUAUGGGGACUGCCCGAUAGAGGGGGGUAACUACAGGAAACGGUAGCUAAAACCGCAUACGAUCGGAUAACCCAUAUGGGAUUAGCUAGUAGGUGGGGUAAGGGCUCACACAGGCGACGAUCCCUAGCUGGUCUGAGAGGAUGAUCAGCCACACUGGGACUGAGACACGGCCCAGACCCCUACGGAGGCAGCAGUGGGGAAUAUUGCACAAUGGGCGCAAGCCUGAUGCAGCCAUGCCGCGUGUAGGAAGAAGGCCCUAGGUUUGUAAAGUACUUUCAGUCGGGAGGCGUUACCGACAGAAGAAGCACCGGCUAACUCCGUGCCAGCAGCCGCGGUAAUUC